UCCCAGGUGGCUCAGUGGUAAAGAAUCUGCCUGCCAACGCAGGAGCCCCAGGUUUGAUACCUGGGUUGGGAA
rnacentral:tRNA from 1 species